rnacentral:lncRNA from 1 species
AUGGGAGUUUCUGAAAAAUUUAGGAAAAGUAUGGAGCAUUUAGCGUCCAGUUAUGCGACUGAGCAAGACGCCGACCUUAAAUUUACCAGCACAAUUAGCUCCGAAGGUGAUUUGGCGGCAAAAGCCUCAAAACUUUCAAAAUCUAAAAAGAAGCGUCCAAGUCAAGUUGAGCUUUCCGAAAAAACUCAGAAUUCUCAAGAGUGCUCAAUCCUUAGCAGUAGUCACACACAAGCCACGGUUUCAAAAUCAAACGACAGUAACGAACGAGUCUCCAAGUCUAAGUCAUCCAGAAGUCCUAGUAUUAGACGGAAAAAAGUCAGCAGUGAAAAUUUGAUCAGUAUUGAUGUGCUGGAAAAAGAUAAAACACUUUCUGAGGUACAUGAUGUUGACUUCGAUCAGCAAAAAAUCACUGCUUCCGAGAGAACCUCGGAAAGUUCAGGACUUCGUAGGAAAAGCUCGGGCCAGUUAGAGAUUCCGGAAAUUUUUCGAGGCUCAAGUGACAGAAUUAACUUGCUAGAUAAAGAUAAAGUGCGUUCCGAGAAACACCUUGUCGACUUUGAGUCGAAAGAAAUAGCUGUUUCCAGAAGAACUUCUGAAGAGUCGGAACAUCGUAGGAAAAGCUCGGGUCAAUUAGAAAUUCCGGAAAUAUUUCGAAAUUCCAACGAAAAAUUAAAUUUAUCGAGUACUUUAGAUGAAGUAAAAUCAGGUGAUAGCUCCAAUGGAAAUGUUAAACAGCCCAGCAAAAUUUCAAUCCCUGAAGUAUUUCAAGAUAGCUGCAUUAAAUCAGGCGCCAAGGAAAAUUUGACAUCCAAACCCAUCAGAGAUGUCCGUUGCGAAAACGACUUGAAAUCAAUUGAGGGAUCCAAGAAGACUCCCUCUACACAAUGUUAUAGCACAGAAACGUUAAAUACUUCACUCGAAAACGCUCCUUCCACUGCGUCCAAAAUUAAUGUAGCACCCUCUCAAAAGACUUUACCAUUGAAAUCAAUUCUCAAAAAAACUGAGUUCAAAAGCGCAGAAAAAAAAGUAAGCACCCCAGAUGCGAUUACGAUUUCUGAGUUUGUAGAGAAAAGUGGCGAGGAUUCCGGUGUCAUCGUAGAGUCAAUGGGUGACGCGUUCUUGAGUUUCAAUGACCAUGCCGAAAAAAUUGAGACUUGUGCCUCAAAUAGUCUAAAUAUUGAUCAGAAAAUCAUCGGUGAUCGUUCCUCAUCACAUGCUUACAGAUCGGAGUCGAUUGCCCUAUCAAAACAGAUACACAUUCCAUAG